rnacentral:rRNA from 1 species
UACGGAGGGUGCGAGCGUUGUCCGGAAUCACUGGGCGUAAAGGGCGCGUAGGUGGCGCGGGCAGUCAACGGUGAAAGUUCGGGGCUCAACCCCGAAUCGGCCGUCGAUACUCCCGGGCUUGAGCACUGUAGAGGCUAAUGGAAUUCCGGGUGUAGCGGUGGAAUGCGUAGAGCUCGGGAGGAACACCCGUGGCGUAGGCGGCCCCCUGGGCCGCGCCUGACGCUGAGACGCGAAAGCGUGGGGAGCGAACAGG